GUGCCAGCCGCCGCGGUAAUACGGAGGGUGCAAGCGUUGUCCGGAUUUAUUGGGUUUAAAGGGUGCGUAGGCGGCCCGUUAAGUCAGCGGUGAAAGAUUCCGGCUCAACCGGGAGAUUGCCGUUGAUACUGUCGGGCUUGAGUGUUGAUGGGGUACAUGGAAUUUAUGGUGUAGCGGUGAAAUGCAUAGAUACCAUAAGGAACACCGAUAGCGAAGGCAUUGUACUUAUCAACAACUGACGCUGAGGCACGAAAGCGUGGGUAGCGAACAGGAUUAGAUACCCGAGUAGUCC
rnacentral:rRNA from 1 species